UAGGCCCGCAGAUCUGAUGAUAUGAUUACAAAUUUGAUCAUCGACCUGCAGCCUAGGC
ensembl:miRNA